ACAGGAUUAGAUACCCUGGUAGUCCACGCCGUAAACGAUGAUCACUGGUUGUUUGCAGGCAUAUGUAAGUGACUAAGCGAAAGUGUUAAGUGAUCCACCUGGGGAGUACGUCGGCAACGAUGAAACUCAAAGGAAUUGACGGGGGCCCGCACAAGCGGAGGAACAUGUGGUUUAAUUCGAUGAUACGCGAGGAACCUUACCCGGGCUUAAAUGUAUGUUGCAUAGAUCAGAGAUGGUCUUUUCUUUCACGAGACUACAUACAAGGUGCUGCAUGGUUGUCGUCAGCUCGUGCCGUGAGGUGUCGGGUUAAGUCCCAUAACGAGCGCAACCCUUGUCGUUAGUUGCCAUCGGGUCAAGCCGGGCACUCUAGCGAGACUGCCGCCGCAAGGCGUGAGGAAGGCGAGGAUGACGUCAAAUCAGCACGGCCCUUACGUCCGGGGCUACACACGUGUUACAAUGGUAGGUACAGAGGGCAGCUACACCGCGAGGUGAUGCAAAUCUCGAAAGCCUAUCUCAGUUCGGAUUGGAGUCUGCAACCCGACUCCAUGAAGCUGGAUUCGCUAGUAAUCGCAUAUCAGCCAUGAUGCGGUGAAUACGUUCCCGGGCCUUGUACACACCGCCCGUCAAGCCAUGGAAGCUGGGGGUACCUGAAGACUGUAACCGCAAGGAGCGGUCUAGGGUAAAACUAGUAACUGGGGCUAAGUCGUAACAAGGUACC
rnacentral:rRNA from 1 species